rnacentral:rRNA from 1 species
AACGAACGCUGGCGGCAUGCCUAACACAUGCGAGUCGAACGAGACCUUCGGGUCUAGUGGCGCACGUGUGCGUAACACGUGGGAACCUGCCCUUAGGUUCGGAAUAACUCCCUGAAAGGGGUGCUAAUACCGGAUAAUGUCUUCGGACCAAAGAUUUAUCGCCUUUGGAUGGGCGCGCGUUGGAUUAGCUAGUUGGUAGGGUAAAAGCCUACCAAGGCGACGUUCCAUAGCUGGUGUGAGAGGAUGCUCCUCCACACUGGGAAUGCGACACGGCCCAGACUCCUAGGGGAGGGUGGAGUGGGGAAUAUUGGACAAUGGGCGCAAGCCUAAUCCAGCAAUGCCGGGUGAGUGAUGAAGGCCUUAGGGUUGUAAAGCCAUUUUACCCGGGAUGAUAAUGACAGUACCGGGAGAAUAAGCUCCGGCUAACUCCGUG